rnacentral:lncRNA from 1 species
AUUCCCCCUUCCGCCACUACUUCUGGUUCCGCCUCGCCCCCUGGUUUCCCCCCCCCAGUUUGGGCAUGCGAGCCAAAAAAGGUUCGCCACCACUGGACUAGGUAGUCUUAAUGGAAGGAUUUUUAAAAUGUUCUGCUGGUGGCUUAGAUGCUCUGUUUCACAUAUUGCUACUGUACUUUUGAUGACAGAUUUGUGAGCACUAUUCUUCAUAUAGUGGAGAAAAUAUAGAGCAGAACUAGAGGAAAUAAUUCAAAUAUGCUGCCAUCUUGCUAAGGAGUGAGAGACCAUGAGGCCUUCUCAAUGAGCCUACUCUUUUCUCUCUCCUCCAUGUAAAAAAAAGAAAAAAGCUUUUGACUGCCACCAUAAAAUAAAUGCAUAUGUAUUUUUGCUCCUUAUUCUCUCAUUCACUGUAGGAAUGAGAAAUCCACUGGGCAUUUAUGAUUCUAGUAGGAAGUAAGAGAAAAACAUUAAUGGCUUUGUAUACUGAAGUGGAUUACCACUGGAUUAUGUGAUAAAAUUAACAUGUAUCUCUCAAGUUACAUGUCCUGAAAAUAUAAAUCCCGGUAAUGAAAUGCUUUCUACUUCAUGAAAUAUAUCCAAGCAUGAUCACUGCUGAAAAAAAUGAUUGAAACAACAGUUAAAUUAAUCCAUCUACAUAUGUUGUUUGGUUGAAAUAUAUGGAAUGAUGUAUGUGUGCUAAUCUCUUCAAAAGGCUAUAAAUGAAAAGGCAAAAAUCUGUGCUUAUUCAUACUUCCCCCUUUCCUUUCAUUGCAGCAGAAUUUUAGACCUUUUCAGUAGUGAUGUAUACUGAAUUGAAUGUCUUGAAGAUUCUUGCUUAAAAUUCCCCUGCAUCUUACAAAGAUGCCAUUGUAUCCUGCUGCUCAGUCUCUUAGCCUACAACUCAGUCCCCUCAAUAGCACUGGGAAAUGGUUAUCUGAAAGAAAAAUCAUAAAAAUUAACAACUUCAGGCUGUACUGUUUCUUAUAUCCAAGGACUGGGCAACAAGCAUCUGUGAGCCAUGUGAAUACCAAUACUCCAGGUGUUCUUUGUUUAUGUUGGAAGCAAUCCAGUGGUGCUUCUGGAAUGAAAGGAUCCAUCAAUGGAGUGUGCUGCCAUAGUCCAGGAGAUGUCCAACUGUUUUCACAUCCUCAUAUUCUUCAGGGAGGUUCCUUCCUUGUUCCUCCUCCUUACUCAUCAUCAGUACCACAUCAUCCAGACUUGUUCUCUCAGUCCUUCCCAAGCUGGAUUUGCAGUGAAUGAAUGAGAUGCAUGCAGACAGUAAAUGAGAUGGUAGAGAUUGGCUCAGAAGUGUUUGAGUACUUUUUCACCCAAAGAUACAAAUGCACACAUACAUUUUUGUUAUAUUUAAAAGAUUUCUAUCUGAUUGUCCAGCAAAGUUUUAAAUGUGACUAACAAUAACAUUUUCAAGCCCAAUGGCCAACUUAAGUUCUAAAAUACAGUAAUGAAAAAAAAAAUCAGAAUUAAUAAAACAGUGUUAAUGUGGCA